UAUAUUUAAUCUGUUUAUAUUUACACAAAUCUGCAUUUAUAUUUAACAGUUUUUCCCCCCAGUUCCUUCUUUGUCUAUGACCGUCAGCUUUCUCUGUUUCUUUCUUGUUCAGUAGUAUUCUCAGAUAAUCUCUAGGAAGACGAUAUCUUCUUGAACAAGCAAUGUCAUGUGGCUGCACAUAAUCUUGUAUGUAUGAAAAGCCUGAUCAAGAUGGACUUGGAAGGAUGCCUUGCGAUUCUUUGAAGGACCUGUGGAUCACCAAGUGAUUUUUGUGACUUUUUGCCUGCUUUGGGGAACUUGCGGUGCCUUGAUAUUUUGGAAAUAAGGUGGAUGGGAUGUGUGAAAAAGGUGUGGGAGUUGAAUUUUUAGUACCGCAGCAGACAUCAUCAUUUUCAUUCUGAAACUGGAACAACUUUUGUUUCAAGAUAUAAGGGUGUGAGAAGAAUGAGAAGGAAGAGAAGAUCAGAACUGAUGAUGGCAACGGGCUCUGCUAUUCUCAUCCACCUCUUCUUGCUAAAUUGGAAGAUCGUCUUAGAGAAGCAAUGUCAAGUGGUUACAUCCAGCUUUUGCAGUCGUACGCCCAACACCACAUAAUCUUCUAUCUGUCAAACUUGAGUUGUAGAAGAAAUAGUGCAAUUACUGCUCUUGGCAAUGACUGCUACCUUACUUGUAUAACCUGAUCAAGAUGGACUUGGAAAGCUACCCUGCGAUUCGUGAGAGACUUGUUCAUCACCAAGCGUAUAUGUACUCAUUGGAAAAGUUAUGUUUCUGUCAUGCCUUCUAAACCUGGCUUAAAAUUGUAACCCAAAACAGUAUAUUGUCCUUUAAUCUCUCGCAUCCUUCCAUGUGAAUGCAGGGGUGACAGGAUUGAAACCUUCAAAAUCUCAUUUCACCGGAAGCAUUAAUGGCGGCAGGAUUGAAACAUUCAAAAUCUCUCGCACCCUUCCUUUAAUUGUUUCCAUUUGAGAACUUUGAAGAUCAAUUUAAGUGACCUGAGCAGUUCCCGGAAGUAUUAAUUAGUAGUCUG